rnacentral:rRNA from 1 species
CCCUUAGAUGUUCUGGGCUGCACGCGCGCUACACUGAAGCUAUCAACACGUUUUCCCUCCCUGAGAAGGGCGGGUAACCUUUUGAAUCAGCUUCGUGGUAGGGAUCGGGGCUUGCAAUUGUUCCCCGUGAACCAGGAAUUCCUAGUAGACGCGAGUCAUAAGCUCGCAUCGAUUAAGUCCCUGCCCUUUGUACACACCGCCCGUCGCUACUACCGAUUGAACGUUUUAGUGAGGCAUUUGGACCGACGCAUCUCAGUUAAACCGCUGGUUUGUGUUGGAAAGACUUCCAAACUUGAGCGUUUAGAGGAAGUAAAAGUCGUAACA